rnacentral:rRNA from 1 species
CACGGGGGGAGCAAGCGUUGUUCGGAAUCACUGGGCGUAAAGGGCGUGUAGGCGGUCAGGUAAGUGAGAUGUGAAAUGCCCCGGCUCACCCGGGGACCGGCAUCUCAUACUGCUUGGCUUGAGUACGGGAGAGGAUGUGGGAAUUCCUGGUGUAGCGGUGAAAUGCGUAGAUAUCAGGAGGAACACCGGUGGCGAAGGCGCUGCUCUGGGCCGGUACUGACGCUGAGGAGCGAAAGCGUGGGUAGCAAACAGG